CCCCUCUCAGGAUCGCAGCUGGAGAGUUUCCAGUAUUCCACCAGUCUCAGCUAUGGGAGGGAGAGUCAAGCAGAAGCAUACUUAUUCCAUUCCUAGCUUGGGCAGUGGCUAGUGAGUGGAAGGCAACAUGCUACAAGU